rnacentral:rRNA from 1 species
UACGGGGGGGGCAAGCGUUGUUCGGAAUUACUGGGCGUAAAGGGCUCGUAGGUGGCCAACUAAGUCAGACGUGAAAUCCCACGGCUCAACCGUGGACGUGCAUUCGAAACUGCUCGGCUCGAGUAUGGAAGAGGGUCGCGGAAUUCCCGGUGUAGAGGUGAAAUUCGUAGAUAUCGGGAGGAACACCAGUGGCGAAGGCGGCGACCUGGGCCAAUACUGACGCUGAGGUGCGAAAGCGUGGGGAGCAAACAGG